GGGGGAUUAGCUCAGUUGGCUAGAGCGCUACGCUGGCAGCGUAGAGGUCGUGAGUUCGAAUCUCACAUUCUCCA
rnacentral:tRNA from 1 species